rnacentral:lncRNA from 1 species
CAGAGAUUGGCCUACAAAGACUAAAAUAUUUAUUCUCUAGUCCUUUACAGAAAAAGUCUGCCAUCACCUUGGGAUAGAGAAUAAAAGUUGGAGCCAGACCCACUCAAUGGUGUGGGUUGCUGCCUGGCAAAACCUCCGUGCCUGACACUGGGAUCCCCAAGGAAUGAAGGUGAAAUAAAGACAUUUCAGACAGACUAAGAGGAGAAUCUCACACCAGCAGACCUGCACUAAAGGAAAUAUUGAAGGAAAGAUUGAAAAUGUCUCGAAGAAAAGUUAGAGGUGUGAGAAAUAAUGAAAGGCAAUGAAACGUGAGUAUGUUUAAAUAGUGACUGCAUAAAACAUAAUAGCGAUGUGUUGAAUUUAAAACAUACAGAUAAUUAAGAUACACAACAACAAGAGGAACAAAAUCAUAUCACAGUAAGGCAUAUUAAAAC